rnacentral:sRNA from 1 species
UAAAAGCUUUUAAAAGAGUUAACUUAAAAUCUAUUUUGGCGGGAAAUAUUUUUUUGAAAUUUUUUGCCGGGAAAUUUUUGGCGGGAAAUUUAUUUUGGAAUAUUUUAUGCAAAAAAAUAUUAAUAUUUCAUUUUGUUAACUUAAAACAAUUUCCAAAUAAGGGUAAAAUGGUCAUUAAAAAUUUAAAGAGCGUAAAAAUAAAAAUGGAUAAAACAAAAGGGUAGAGUUGAAAAGGGGCAUCAUGAAAAGGGCAUUAGAAAGAAUUUUUCUUAUUGGUUAAAACAUAUACUCUAAACCGUUUAUUAUACUUUUUAUCAUUCAAACAUUUGUACUGUACCACUUAUUUUUCAUUGACUACACAUAUUUCUCAUACUGCGUUUUUUCUUAACAAAUCGCACUAUACUACUAAAUCCAUUUGAUCUGCAUUGCCAAAUCCAUUCCUCCCAUUGGAAGUCUAUAUU